UCUUCAGGUGCUGAAAUCAGAUUCAUUGAUUUCUCAAUUUAGUUCAUUUUUUUUUUAUAGAAACAUCAACAUCUAAACAUAAAUAAGUCUCAAACAUUCUUACGAUCAUUUCAGCUUAUUUGUUUUUGAAAAAUUGUUUUGUUGUUCCGAGUUGUAGUUUUUACAAUGAUCUUGCUUUGAAUGAGAAACAUUUGUUUGUUUCCUUGUCGAAGAUUCCAUGCAAACUGGGUUUGACUUAGUGUAUGUGGUUUUAGUAUCCGAUUAAUUAACAUAUUAAUUAAUCAGAUAUGAAAACCACAGAGUUGUGUUAGACUUAGUUUGUUUAUAUUGUUGAAGAUAGAAUCGACCACUGAACAUGUUUUUCAUAAAUUGUUAUGAGCCAUUUUUCAUUUUUAUCCAACCUUCUCAUUUUCCAUUUUUAUGAUCAUUUUAGCUCCUUUGUUUGGCAAAAAUUGUUUUGUUCAGGGUUGUACUUUUUUGUUUUUUUGCAUUGAAAAUGUUUUGAAUGGGAAACAUUUUUGUUGUUUUCUGUUGAUGAUUUUGUUUUGAAUUAUCCAAAAUAGGCUUGUUUCAAUUUCCCCCAACCUAACCAAACUGAAUUGACAUCCGAGUUUGUGAUCUCUAUGGCCGAUUAAUUGAUUCAGGUAAUCGGGCAUGGAAACCACUGCAUUUGUACUCCUGUUCUCUUUUAGUAAUUUGAUACAAGUUACAAGCUUUUACGCUUGUAUAUUAAUCAAUACUGAGGUAUGUGGAGAUGGUAUACAAUUGCAUGUUUUUAAGGCAUAUAAUUGCUUGUUAAGUAUUGAUCCUGAGAAUUUGGUGAGACUGAUAUUGAUGAGCCAUUACAGUGUUAUCUUGGAGUAAUAGUUAGCCAGAGCAUAUGUCCACUCCAGCGGUGAAAGUGUCCGCUUCAGAAAUGUUUACACCUAACAUUUUGGAAGUUGAAUGCAACCAGAAUCUUAGAGUAAUAAGUCAUACCUAAUGUUUAUACCUAUAUUUACCUUUUUGUUUACAUUUGUUGAAUCACUUCAAAUAGGAAGUGAACAUUGAAUUGAAACAUUUGAGGAGUCCUAAUUAAGACUGUUCAGUUGCUCCCUUCAAUUCAAUAUUUUUGAAGCUAUAUAAGGAAGUUAUCAUAGAUACACUUGAUAUUAAAGGUGUAGCAAGUUCAAUGACUUCAAUGUAGUACUAGAUAUGAAAUAUGAAUACAGACUAAAUAAGUCUUAGAGUAAAGUGUACAAACCAAAUAAAUCUCAUUUUUCAGUAUUAUAAUUUAUUAUAGUUUAAUCCUCAAAUAGUUGGGCUUAGAGACGAGUCUCUAGAAUGGAUGAAGUAAAAAUAGGUUUUGACUGAUGUGGGAUACAAAUCCGAAUUUUCCCUUGAUAGCAAGAGAAGGAGUCUAUAGAGUAGGAUACCUUUAUUUGUCUAUGAUUUGUUUGUGGAACCAAUCGUGUUUUCAGAUACUGUUUUUGCUCGUCACCUGGAUGCAUAGACUAUGGUUACAGUAUAUAAUAGUUUGUUGUGCAGAAUUUAACUUGAAUCAUGCCUUUUUUAUUCAAUUGUAACCAAUGUAUUCUUUUUAAAAUUAUAUAUAAGUUUAUACUGUCAUCCGCAAACAAGAUUGCUUUUAGCUGUUUUGCUGAAAGUAGAAAAAUGGGGCGAUGAUUAUAAUGAGAGAGAGGUCUUUAGUGGGAAAUGCCCAAUUUAUUCAGAAAAUCAUAACCCAACUUCUAUCAGAGUUAGGAUCCUCUCCAUUUAUCAAUAUCAACAAAAAAAUGAAAAGAAUAAGAAAAUGAAGAAGGUUAGAACUUGAAGUUGCCGCCAUACCCUUUUCACCAAAGGGGUUUGGCUUUGGUAUCUCAUAUUCUAUCUUCGUCUUCUUUCUCCUCUUCCUCUUUCUCUUAUGUCCCUUCAUAUUGAAUUGGGUUUUUUCCACAGCGACAGAGCUUUCAUAAUUUACACUUGAUAUGAGCCCUCAACCUUCUGAUUUUCCAUUAUUAUUAUUAACUUAUUUGUUUCUCAAAAAUUAGUUUUGUUCAGAAUUGUAGUGUUUUUUUUUUUUUUUUGCACUGAUUUUUUUAAUUUUGGAUGAGGAAACACUUCAUGUUCUCAUUAAAGAUUCAGUGCGGACAAAAAAAGCUUGAUUGCAGUAGCUACUGCUUGUUUUCUGGUGAACAUGUUUUUCAGAAACAAUAUGGUGGAUUUGUUGUAAUUGGACAGCGGCCAGACAACCGUAGAGAUGGAAUCCACAGAUGUUGAGUUUUUCCUUGUCUCACAUUUCUACUAAUUCUAUCUCACAUUUUUUUUUUUUUUUUUGUAUUUGUUAUCUGCUAACUAAAUUUAAUUGUUCAUUUGGAUGUAAUAUUUUUAAUAUCGACAUAACUUUUGGGGUUUAAUAAAAAGGAAGAAGACAUAACUUUUGUGAAGCAAACAUUGAAUUGAAAUGUUUGUUGAUGCCUAGUUAUAAUAUAUCCUGAGUAAACUGAUUGAUCAAGAGUUUGUGAUUGCACUAUUUGUGUACCUGUGGCAUUUCUUUUUGUUAUAUAAGUAGCGAUUAAUAAAAUUUUGUUUGUUCAAUUUCUGUUUGACUCUGAUUGGGGUUUCUAGCCAAUGGUGCUUUGGAACUAUGGUUAUAUGAAUAGUUGCUUCAAUGGAUUUUUUUUGUGUGGAGAAGUGCUAGUACCCACGUUGAUUGUUUAUUUUUUUAGAGGGAGAUUAGGACAGGGUUUUGCAAUGUUUUGUUAAAAAAUUAAAAUGAUAAAAGGAGGAUGAAUCUGAAGUGAGAGCUGUAAACUUUUGUUCAUUGUGGGAAUACUAUAUAAAAUACCCAGCAUGACAUCCUUUCAAAUUUGUCACACUUGAUGGCGGAAAAAGGGUAUGUUUUGGUUUAAUUUAACAUAUUGUUCUCUUGAUUCAUUUGAUUUCAUUUCAGUUUUUAUAUAUUCAGGCUAAACUCUUAUUUAUCUUUAUUACCCCUUUAAAAAGACUGAAUAUUUUUUUUGGAUCCUUUACUCUCAAGAUUAGAACUAUUUGCCCUUCUGAACAUGUAAUUUAAGGGCAUUUGAUCCUUUCACUAGGAUCUGGGUUGUAUUGGAGUUGUGGAAGGUCAGUGGUGAUUAUAAAUGUAAUAUAGAAAGGGAUAAGGGAGCAAAAAUUAGUUUGAAUUAGAAGACACUUGUCAAACACAAUGAAUCUUUAUUUGUUCUUGACCAUUGGUCAUAUGUUAGAAAAAUCAGUUUGAUUGUUAGGAUUAAGAUUUUGGUCAGUUAAUGUUUUUCUGCAUCUGAAAUUGUUGUGUGUGUAUAAUAUGGAUCAAGAAUGUCUCUAUUUAUAGCCAAUUUUAACUGUACUCUCAUUAUUUAACAUAUAAUUUAAUUUAGGAGAAAACUUAGGUACAGUACCUUGUGUGCUGGUGGUACUGUUCCCUAUCAGAAAAUAACACGUGGCUUAUAAAAACAAACAUAAAGUAAAUUUUAUUUGUAGUUUUCAUGGUGGAUGUGUUCUGGUUAUCAUCAAGAACUUUAUUUGCAAUUUUAGUUAACUAUUUUGCUAUAUAUCUCUAGAAAAAAGAACGAAGAAAUUUUGUGAAUGAAGGUAACACUUUGCUGGAUUUAUCCUUGCUGUUUGAAGGAAUGAAGGUGGAAGUUCAACCUUUGCUAGUUGUUUGUUGCCAUUGACCCUGGAUUCAAAGGAUUUAAUUUGGCUUUAUCCUUCGAGCCACAACUCUAAAAAGAAGGAUGAUAAAGCCAUCACACCCAUAAAGCCAAUUUAUCCAAGAAGAAGGACCAUGUGUGAAAGGGGUAGGGAGAAAUUGAAACGGUAGCUAUGAGCAGUAAAAACAGUGAGACGGAUUAAUGAAGGAAGAAAAGUUAGUUUUUUAAAAGGACACGUGUAUUGUUAUUAUUGGGGAACAGUACCACCAGCACAUAAGGGAAAUUCGGAAAUGGUUUUGCAAUCUUUUGUUAAAAAAGUAAAAUGAUAAAAGGAGGAUGAAGGUGGAGUGAGAGCUGCAAACUUGUGUUGAUUGUGGGAAUACUACAUAAAAGACCCAGCAUGACAUCAAUUCCAAUUUGUCACAGUUGAUGGCAAAAAAAGGAGACUAUGACACAAGUUCACAGCCGAUAGAGAGUCCAAGUUCACAUGACCUGCAAAUUUAUGGGAUUGUUGUGACUACUGUGUUAUGCUUUAUUGUAUUUGGAGGAGUGAAGAUGAUAAAUUGGGUUGCACCUGCAUUUCUCAUACCUGUUUUAUUCUCACUCAUCUGCAUAUAUUUGGGAAUUCUGUUGGCAAAGGAGGAUCAUCCCACAGGCUUGUUUUAUUCUCAUCGUUAACUUGUCCUUUUGCUAGUUUAUCCAUGCUUUGGCUUCAUCAUAGGCUCAAGUUCACACAGGUUUUUUUUUUUUUCUGUAAGCUUUCCUUGUUUGGUAAAACUUGGUUAAUAUUUAUAAUGUUUAGCCUAUACAAAAUAAAGGGGAGACAGGUGAGUGUCAACCCGAGGAUUCUUGCAGAAGCGUAUAAAUAUGAAAUGAAAUGGAGGAAAACCAAUGAUGAUUAUAAAUGCUAUAUAGAAUUGUUAGGAACAAGAAUGACUACAAAUUGAUGAACAGGGGCCAACUUGUUAAUAUUUUUUAUUUUAUGUUUGAUAAGGUAAAAUAAAUAAAUUUUUAGGAAAAAAUGAAACCCUAAUAAAAAUGGGUGAUGCAAUGAGUUGUAUCCUUUGUUCGCCACUUUUAGUGAUUCAGUCAUUUUGCGGAACCGAAAGUGCAGGGCAAUGAUUAGAAUGAGAGAAGCCUUGAGUGGGAACCCAAUUCCAUUGAUAAAUUUGUAUAUAGAAACACUUUUAUUCUCUUCACCCCACACACACAAAAAAAAAUCAAUCAAAACAAAAUCAAAGAAGCUUUGAGCUUAAUGGUGCCGCUGAGCCUUUUUUUACCAAAGGGGUUUGGCUUUGGUAUCUCAGGUUCUAUCUUCGUCUUCCUUCUCCUCCUUCUCUUUUUUAUUCUCUUAUCGUCCCUUAAAUUGAAUUGGGUUUUCCUCAUAAUGACAGAUCAUUCACAAUUCACACUUGAUAUGAGCCCCUCAACCUUCUGAUUUUAUAUUGUUUUGAUUAUUAACUUUUUUGUUUUGUGAGGAGUUGUAGUUUUUUGGACGAGGAACACUCGUUUGCUGUUUUCUUGUUAAAGAUUCAGUGCGCACAGGAAAAGCUUGAUUAUAGCUACUACUGCUUGUUUUCUGCUUUUCAGAAAAAUGGUGGGUUUGUUGUAAUUGGGCAGCGGCCAGAUAACUAUGAUUGGCUUUUUUUUGGUUGCUCGUUACCCUGAUGCGGCAACUAUGGUUACAGUAUAGGAAUAGUUUGUUGUGUAGAAUUAAACUUGAAUCAUGUCUCUUUCAUUCAAAUCAUCAUAACAAAUGUAUUCUUUAUAACAUAUAUUUGUAACUUAAUUGUAAACUAGAAGACAGCAUAAUUUGACUCAUGAAUGGAUGGACUUUCCUGUCUUAAUGCCAUAACUGGAUCAUUGGCUUUCUAAUCAAGGGGUUCACGGCAGCAUAUUGUAUCUGAUCUUGGCUGUUGACAGGGACUCUUAAUCACUUGGAUUUAAAAUUACAAUGGAUGUUUUGGUCAUGUUAAGUUGGUAAAUUUUCAUUUCAAGUAUUAUACUCAAGAUAGCUAGGAAGCCAAUUCCUUUGUGACGGUCUUGAUAAUGAAGAAUCUUGCAUUAAGGGAUGAAGGAGCUUUGAUACUGGUAGCAAAAUGCUUGGUAUAAUGAGUUCUUUUUUUAAUUGAGGUGUAAGGAUAUUUAAAGUACUAAUUGAUGCAAUCCUGUGAUCAAGAUAUAGUGAUGACUUUGGACUGCUAUUUGGCUCUUGUAUAUUGUUUAUCUUUGCUUUAUGUAUUGUAUUCAAGGUGCUGCUAGUAAGAAACGUUUUUUUAGUGUGGCUAA